UUUCCUCCUAUCUCAUUUUAUGUCCUCUAUAUCUAACCUUAUCCACACCCCACCAUCUCAAAAUACAAAACACAGACAAAUCAAAAUCAUAAAACCCUGCCUGCCUUCCCCUUCUCUCUCGAUGUAUAUAUAUCAACACACAGAUCCCCUCAACUCACUGAAGAACCGGUGAUUACCGGUCGACUGUUCACGACAACGGAACUAGAGCCGCCGCUCGCGGCGGCGCACAACGACGGAACGAGAGAGACAGAUCGAAGAGAGAGAGAGAAGCACGGAGAGAGAGAGAGGGGAGACGGAGAGGAAUGACGGAGCAGGAGCGGCUCCGCCGCUAACGGCGAUGGCGGCGGCGUAUGGCGGCAGUGAACGUCGGCGACAUUAUUUUUCCGGUAAACCCUUCACUCCCAACACUUUUUAUUUCUUUAAAAAAAAAUCUCCCAAAGUUCUGUGGAUCAUCACCAUGAGAUUUGAUUUUUUUUUUCUCUGAUGUUGAUGAUGAUGAUGGAGAGGGGAUGGGGGUGCGACGUGGAAGUCGCGACAGACACAGGUCCAUCGUACGGCGACGACCGGCCGUAGUGGUGCCGGUGACGAUGAUGGUAAUGGCGGCAGUAGUACUGGUGGUUUCGGUUCAAGUUGGUUCGGCUCGAGAUGGUCAGACCUUGUCAAAGAAAAAUUUGGUUCAAGUCGGGUUUCGUUUCGGUCAACAAACAAACAACUGGUGGUUGGUUCAGAUUACGACUCGGAUCAGUUUUGGGUGGUUCGGGUUCUCGGCGCGGUCAAAGUCAGUCAACGAAAGUCAACUGGUCAAACCCCAGUCAACGGCAGUCAACUGCCGGUCAACAGGUCAAACGUGGUCAACACGAAGGACCCGGAAUGUCACAGUUAUACGCUAGCGAUUCACGUUCUUGGAACGGCACUACGGAAACACGCUAGGCUAGCUUUGCACCGGAAUGUCAAGGUUGCAUUUUUCAAAACUACGGAACGGUUGGAAUAGGAGAACCCAUGGGAUUUCGAGCACUUAGCGGGCGUUCAUUGUUUAGAAGUCUUAGCUUAUUUGCUUCCGCUGUGCAAUGAAGAUACCGGUCCAGUCACGCCAGCUCUGAUAUUUCGGGGUGUGACAGAUUGGUAUCAGAGCUAUAGGUUUCAGCGAAUUAGGUUCUGUAGAGAUACCUAGGCUUUAACCUUACUCUCAUCUGGGGACUUAGAUAUCAAGAAUUGAACACAUACAGAACGCCUAAGACUCGAAUAUGGGUUUCCAACCGGUGCCGAAAACAAUGAGUCAACAUUUUUGGUUUUAAACAUACACAAGUGUUGUGUUGGAUACACGGUACAUGAACCGAUUACAUAUAGUAAGCAAAACUUUGAGAGUUUUGGAUAACAUGCAUUUAGGACCUUUGGAAAACUUACGUCGAAACUCAUUAAAGAUCCUCACUUAGAAACCGUGACUAACAACUCAGGCAAACGCUAUUAUCUAUUUGUCUAUGCUAUUUUAAUUACCCGAGCAGGUAAUCUACGUGGAACGAAACGCUAGGGCGCGAAUACACGUGAAACUUAAACUAUACGUCAACGGACGUUGAAAUACAUCACACACAACUUUCGAGGCAAGGCCUUUGGA